GCCCACCCUGCAAGGACAUGCUCUUCUUUUGGAGGCUUCGUCUUCUGGAAAGACUCCCGAGCAAAGAGCAACUGCAGGAUAAUGAUCGUUCGUCCAUAAGUGGGGCGAUCAGCUGUUGUCUCAAGAUUACAAUGACAUAUUUGGCACAUCGACGGUGAAUUUGUAAAUGGUCCCAAAGGUUCAUUACAUAUCGUGAUCUGUUGUGGACCAUGUGAUUACUGAUUUGUUAACAAUCAGCAAUCGAUGUCUCUAGAGAGAGGGGAAAAUGCCUGAAGAAGUAGAAGAGAUUGGGUUCAAUGUCCAAAGGAUGCUAUUGCAGUGCUCAGUUCCCAUUUAAACUCUAAGGAAGAGAGGCCUUCACCACAGACAGGAGGAUUGUAUGCUUGCUGUCGAUCAAGACUUCCAAAUAAUUUGUUAGACUUCCAAAUUAUGUGUUUUUCACAAUCUCCUGUAAUAUCUCUCCACCAUUUAUUAUCUAUCUCUCACAUGGGACUCUUAGCCUCACAUCACCAAUCCUUUUCAUUUUUACGCUAAUAUAGUAAUAUUCCUUGCACUUUAUCAUUAUCACGUGAUAAUUUUUUUCUUGUGCUUGUGUUUGCACUUCAGUAUUAUCACUGGGAAUUCAUCUACAUCAUAGAUAUACAUACACAUGGUAACUGACACAUGAAUCAUUUCCAAAUGAUAGUUAAUCAAUAUUCCUACUUCUCUAUGGACAUUAUGUUACUGUGACUGUUUUGGUGUUUGCCACUUUAUAUUCAUAUAUUUUGCAGAAGCACUCAAGAACAGUCAUUAUGUUACUGUGACUGUUUUGGUGUUUGCGACUUUAUAUUCAGAUAUUUUGCAGAAGCACUGGAGAACAGAAGAUGAAACGCCAGAGGCUGAGGCAACCGCAAUGAUUCAGAAAAUGGUAUGAACGUACUACCUAUUAUGUGGUCCAGUACUAGAUCAUCUUCUGCGGUGCAGACAAAUUCAUCACCAAGCAAUGUUUGCCACGUUCCAAGGUAAGCAGAAUCGAUCCCCACUGUUUUCUUCCUCAGUAACAAACCGGUGGGGAUUAAUGACUGAAACUUGUGAACUAGUGGUCCUAGUGGAGGCAGGCUUGCUGUUUCUGCACACAAACAUCUAUACAUGCCUGGAAUUUCAUAGCAUAUUGGUAUCUUUGUUGUCCAAAUAAUGAAUUUUCAUAGUUUUAUUAAUAUUCUUUGUUGUCCAAUAUUAUAUUAUAUGGUUUUGUUUUGUUA